UGUUGUUUCCUUAAAUUGUUAAUUUACUUUAUUAUGAUUAAAUUUCAUUACUGAGACUAGAACCUUUUUUUUUUUAACAAAAGCUAUGGGAAAUUGAUUCUCUAUUUGAUGAGCAUACUCCAGAAACAAAUUAACUUGCAAAGUCAGACACUACCUAUAUAUGUUAAAUUCAUUUUCUGUGAAAACAUAGUGAAUCUUAAUUUAAUACUAACAAUAUACAGUACACUAGUUUCUGAUUUGCAACAUAGCUACAUUUCUGAAAAAUUUAAUGCAAAAGAAAAUAACAUAAAUCAGAAAAUUAUUUUCUGUAAAAAUCUUUCUCUCCAAUUUUGUUGUGGCACUGUUGAGCAGUCCACAAAUUUCAAUAAGACAUAGAAUUUAUUGGGAAACGUUUUCAGUGCCUGGACGUCCUCUUCAGCUCAAAACUCUACAA
rnacentral:lncRNA from 1 species